rnacentral:misc_RNA from 1 species
GGUUUGUAUGUCUUGAUUCAAGGCUGAAUAAGAAAGUUGACAUCAGACCAAACUAUUAGAGAAUUUCAUAUUAUUGUAUGCAAUUGUUAGUCAAUAAAAGCAGCAAUCAAAAUAUUGCAGCAAAAACCUUUAGUGACUAAAGGUGAAUAAUUUUCCUGUACUAAGGGUCAGAUAAACCUCCCUAGAAUUAAAGUCUAAAUUUCCAUCGACUUGGGGUGCUAGAACAUUAUAUAUUCUGGUAAUUUUCCCCUCGAGCAACCAAGUUGUUUUCCUCAAAUGAACAGCAUUUAUUUAUCCCAACUACACUAUGGCAGAUUCUUCUUCGAUGCAUU